rnacentral:rRNA from 1 species
UACGUAGGGGGCAAGCGUUGUCCGGAUUUAUUGGGCGUAAAGCGCGCGCAGGCGGUCUGCCAAGUUCGGAGUGACAGUUUCCGGCUUAACCGGAAAAGGUCUUCGAAAACUGGUGGACUUGAGGACUUGAGAGGGAGACGGAAUUCCGGGUGGAGCGGUGAAAUGCGUAGAGAUCCGGAGGAACACCGAAAGCGAAGGCAGUCUCCUGGCAAGUUUCUGACGC